rfam:Ovis aries breed Texel chromosome 15, whole genome shotgun sequence.
UCCCUGGUGGCUCAGACGGUAAAGUGCCUGCCUGCAAUGCAGGAGAUCCGGGUUCGAUUCCUGGGUUGGGAA